rnacentral:rRNA from 1 species
GGGCAUGGCGGCGCGCCAAACUUGCAAGUCGAACGAGAAGCACCUUUUCGGAAGGUGUGGAUAGUGGCGAACGGCUGAGUAACACGUGGGCAACCUGCCCCUCUCAUCGGGAUAGCCUCGGGAAACCGGGGAUAAUACCGGAUACUCCAACGCUUUCGCAUGGAAGCGUUGGGAAAGCUCUGGCGGAGAGGGAUGGGCCCGCGGCCUGUUAGCUAGUUGGCGGGGUAACGGCCCACCAAGGCUUCUAUGGGUAGCCGGGUUGAGAGACCGACCGGCCAGAUUGGGACUGAGACACGGCCCAGACUCCUACGGGAGGCAGCAGUGGGGAAUCUUGCGCAAUGGGCGAAAGCCUGACGCAGCGACGCCGCGUGCGGGAUGACGGCCUUCGGGUUGUAAACCGCUUUCAGCAGGGACGAGGCCGCAAGGUGACGGUACCUGCAGAAGAAGCCCCGGCUAACUACGUGCCAGCAGCCGCGGUAAUACGUAGGGGGCGAGCGUUAUCCGGAUUCAUUGGGCGUAAAGCGCGCGUAGGCGGCCAGUUAGGUCGGGAGUCAAAUUUCGGGGCUCAACCCCGUCUCGCUCCCGAUACCGGCUGGCUUGAGUGUGGUAGGGGAAGGCGGAAUUCCCGGUGUAGCGGUGGAAUGCACAGAUAUCGGGAAGAACACCGGUGGCGAANGCGGCCUUCUGGGCCAUCACUGACGCUGAGGCGCGAAAGCUAGGGGAGCAAACAAGAUUAGAUACCCUGNUAGU